rnacentral:rRNA from 1 species
GACGAACGCUGGCGGCGUGCCUAAUACAUGCAAGUAGGACGCAGUUGCGAACGGGUGAGUAACGCGUAGGUAACUACCUAUUAGAGGGGGAUAACUAUUGGAAACGAUAGCUAAUACCGCAUACUAGUAGAUGGACCUGCGUUGUAUUAGCUAGUAGGUAGGGUAAUGGCCUAACUAGGCAACGAUACAUAGCGGACCUGAGAGAGUGUUCGGCCACUGUGGGACAGAGACACGGUCAAGACUCCUACGGUGGGCAGCAGUAGGGAAUCUUCGGUAAGGGGGGGAAGCCUGACCGAGCAAUGCCGCGUGAGUGAAGAAGGUUUUCGGAUCGUAAAGCUCUGUUGUUAAGGAAGCGGUACUUAACCAGAAAUAGACGGCUAACUACGUGCCAGCAGCCGCGGUAAUA